CAAACAUCCAGCCCCCUUCAUUCAAGUCUGACAAUGAGACCAGGGCUGAGCCAGAGUCCCAGGCUCUCCCAGCGAGGCAAGGGCUGCAGGGAAAGAACAGAGGGAGCAGGAGAGAGGGCUGAGCUGCGGAGGGGGUAAGGGAACUGUCCAGUAACCAGACACCUGCUGUCCGCUGAGCUCCCACACAAAGCCCUUCCUGGGACUUGACACACCGUUCACCCCCAGCACAAGAGCAGAGUCACGCGUUGUGGUGGUGCUCGUUUCAGAAACAACAACAACAACAACAACAAAUACCAUCACGACAGAGAGCCCAUCAAACCCUCCGAGAGACCUGAGGAUAAACCCUAGUAAACUAGCACGUGAUUGUCUUUAACCUCCAGCAUAAUAAGGUGCCUCCGUAAGGAAACCGUCAAGGGCAAUUUACUCACCCUUGGAAGGGAUCACCGUGGUGAAAACUUCUAUAUUUUCAUCACUGCAGCUGUAAAUCUGAUGCAUCGUUUCAGCCUCCUCUCCCCCAAAGUGCCGGGAACCGGAAGCCUCUCCCUGAACCCCUAGUCUCGAGCUUUCCUAAUCCAGUCUGGCUCAGGGAUCAUUGUGCAGAUCCACAAAAGACAGGCUGCUGCUGUGAUCUCAUCUCAUUCCAGAGUCUUCACUGCAACAUUUUCUAAUCCCAUCUGUCUUUUUUUUUUUUUUUAUGAAUCCUAUUAUUGUAAACCUUUGAUUGAGCGUGGAGGCUUCAGUCCCCUCCCAGCCAGCAUGUAUUUAACAUUUUUGUUUUGCCGUGUCUGCCGCAGUGAUUUUGGAAGUCUUUUGUGAAGUAACGAUGAAGUGAAAUCGCCGACUUGGUUAGAGAUUUGGAGCUCGGCUGAAGGAAACGUGAAUUUUCGUAUCAGCAAUUACCCUUUUCAUUUCAGAAAUGAAGGGGUGCUUUUCCCCCCCUCCUCCAGAAGAACUGGAUAUUCAGUAAUUUGUCGUGUGUUAAUUUGGCUUCCUUCUAAGUUUCUAUUUUAAACAAAAGGACUGUUUCUCUAGAGCAUUUUCGCCUCAUGCCAGUGCAUGAGAGGCUGACAUUUCUAGAGAGCAGUGUACUUAGCAUCUCCUUGUAUAACCCUUCAGGUGCUUGCAGAGACAUUGUAACACGCAGCGCCCUGACAUUCAAGGUGGUACAGAAGAUUAGAUUUACAAGAAGAUUACACUGUAUUGUCCUAAAUAUCCUAAUGUAUAUUAUCCUAUAUAUUCUAUUACCCUGUAUUUAUGUAGAAUAAUAUAUACCCUAUAUUUUGUCUUAUAUAUUCUAAGUAUACACACAGAAAUAAGGUAUGUCUGAAAUGUAUUACGUAUAUUAUGUCAAACCCACUGUCUUUCAUUAUACCAAGACAGAUUUAUUUCUUCGUAUUGAUAGCAAUUAUGUAUUCAUAUUGAUAAUGAUAGAUGGCAUUUAUUAACUGCUUGCUAAGAAGCAUGAUGUGUAAUGUUAUUUAAUGUCUAGAGCCACCCAAUAAGACUAGCCACUAUUUUUGCCAUUUCAUAGGUGAGGAAACUGAGGCAUGAGGAGAAUGAGUAAUUUUUUUUAAGAUUUUAUUUAUUUAUUCAUGAGAGUGAGAGAGAGAGUGAGAGUGAGAGAGGCAGAGACACAGGUAGAGGGAGAAGCAGGCUCCACGCAGGGAGCCCGACGUGGGACUGGAUCCUGGGUCUCCAGGAUCACACCCCAGGCGGAAGGUGGCGCUAAACCGCUAGACCACCGGGGCUGCCUGAGAACGAGUAAUGUGUCCAAGAUUAGAAUACCUAGUUCAUGGCAGGAUUAGAAUUUAAUCCUUAAUUUGACUCCAAAAUCAAUGUACUUAAUUGCUAAAAUUAUACUCCAUUCUUUACCUCCAAAACCUUGGCCUCUACCUUAAACUUGGGAGUUCAAAGCCCUUCUUAGAUGUGGACAUGGUGUCCACUGCUUGCUUGCUUGCUUUCUUUCUUUCUUUCUUUCUUUCUUUCUUUCUUUCUUUCUUUCUAAGAGUUUAUUUAUUCAUGAGAGAGAGAGAGGCAGAGACAUAGGCAGAGGGAGGAGUGGGCUCCCCAUGCGGAGCCCGAUGCAGGAUGUGAGCCCAGGACCCCGGGAUCACCUGAGCCGAAGGCAGACAUUCAACCACUGAGCCACCCAGGCAUCCCUGCUAUCUUUGUAGUAGACAAAUUUGGGGCAUUUACUCACCAGUUAGUGUCAAUAUUACAUUUAGGUCUCAGAAUUGCACCUAGCUACAGAAGAUGGCCCUGGGAAGCCAUGUUUAUUCUAUUUGAAUCUAUUCCCUUGACCACAUUCGAUUGGACCAGGGUAGACACCUAACUCAAAACUGCUGCCUCCUGGAAGCAGAAACUGGCCCUUAGCCUGUGGCCAGAGGGAAGGUAUAAAUUUUCAAUAUCUAGGUGGUUUGCAGGUUCACUGUGGGGAGGAGGGUGUGGAAUGGAGGGGAAGCCAGUGGAAAUAAAUGGAACUGAUGAUCUGGACAGGGCCUGAGGCCUAGAUGCAAAUCCAGGGUAAAGUGUUUUAGAUGGAGGAUGGGGAGCAAGUACUUCCACCCUGACCCAUAGUUCGUGGGUCUGUGGUCACAUAUACAGUGGGUGAGAGCCAGUGGGAGGGAUGAGGGGUUGGGAGUAAGUGAAGUAUUGGAAGAGUGAGGAGUGGGUAUGGAGAAUUGAGAAGAGCACAAAGAGGCAGAGGUAAGGGAGGGACAGAAAAAUUUGAUAGUUUCCCAUUUCCUGCCUUGUCUCUCCCUCUGGCCUACUGUCAUUCCUAUCUUGGGGUCCAGAUACCUAGACCUCCAUCUGAUAAGUUUCCUUUUUCUAAGUUUAAGUAGGUUUUGCUCAUUUUCAGUUAAAAAGAGUACUGUCUAAAAGACACGUCUACAAAUUUUAUAACCUCCACAGUGAUUAAAUUUUUAAAUCAUAGAAAAUUCAGAGGAAUAUUUAAAUAGAAAGAAAGAUCCAAAAUUAUGUUAACAGACUGAAAUCAUGUUAAUGGACUCUAGGUAAUAAAAUAUGCAUGGAAUUUAAUAAAACUAAAUGUAAACAUUUACCUU